rnacentral:rRNA from 1 species
CUCCACCUGUUACCCAUACCGAACACAGUAAGUUAAGCCCACAAACGCCGAAGGUACUUGGUUGGAAACGGCCUGGGAGAUUAGGAAGUUGCUGGUU